GACGAACGCUGGCGGCGUGCUUAACACAUGCAAGUCGAACGGAAAGGCCCUGCUUUUGUGGGGUGCUCGAGUGGCGAACGGGUGAGUAACACGUGAGUAACCUGCCCUUGACUUUGGGAUAACUUCAGGAAACUGGGGCUAAUACCGGAUAGGAGCUCCUGCUGCAUGAUGGGGGUUGGAAAGUUUCGGCGGUUGGGGAUGGACUCGCGGCUUAUCAGCUUGUUGGUGGGGUAGUGGCUUACCAAGGCUUUGACGGGUAGCCGGCCUGAGAGGGUGACCGGCCACAUUGGGACUGAGAUACGGCCCAGACUCCUACGGGAGGCAGCAGUGGGGAAUAUUGCUCAAUGGGCGGAAGCCUGAUGCAGCAACGCCGCGUGCGGGAUGACGGCCUUCGGGUUGUAAACCGCUUUCGCCUGUGACGAAGCGUGAGUGACGGUAAUGGGUAAAGAAGCACCGGCUAACUACGUG
rnacentral:rRNA from 1 species